CGGGAGGCAGCAGUGGGGAAUUUUGGACAAUGGGCGAAAGCCUGAUCCAGCAAUGCCGCGUGAGUGAAGAAGGCCUUCGGGUUGUAAAGCUCUUUUGUCAGGGAAGAAACGGUAGAGGCUAAUAUCCUUUACUAAUGACGGUACCUGAAGAAUAAGCACCGGCUAACUACGUGCCAGCAGCCGCGGUAAUACGUAGGGUGCAAGCGUUAAUCGGAAUUACUGGGCGUAAAGCGUGCGCAGGCGGUUGUGCAAGACAGAUGUGAAAUCCCCGGGCUCAACCUGGGAAUUGCAUUUGUGACUGCACAGCUAGAGUGUGUCAGAGGGGGGUAGAAUUCCACGUGUAGCAGUGAAAUGCGUAGAUAUGUGGAGGAAUACCGAUGGCGAAGGCAGCCCCCUGGGAUAACACUGACGCUCAUGCACGAAAGCGUGGGGAGCAAACAGGAUUAGAUACCCUUGU
rnacentral:rRNA from 1 species